GACGAACGCUGGCGGCGUGCCUAAUACAUGCAAGUCGAACGCAGUGGGGACGGGUGAGUAACACGUGGGUAACCUCCCAUCAGUGGUGAUAACACUUGGAAACAGGUGCUAAACCGAUACUGAUGGAUGAACCCGCGGUGCAGUAGCUAGUUGGUGAGGUAACGGCUCACCAAGGCCAAGAUGCAUAGCGGACCUGAGAGGAUGAUAGGACAAACUGGGACGGAGACACGGCCCAGACUCCUACGGGAGGCAGCAGUGGGGAAUCUUGGGCAAUGGACGAAAGUCUGACAGAGCAACGCCGCGUGGGUGAAGAAGGUUUUAGGGUCGUAAAGCACUGUUGUUAGGGAAGCGGUAUCUAACCAGAAAGCCACGGCUAACUACGUGCCAGCAGCCGAGGUAAUAC
rnacentral:rRNA from 1 species